GACGAACGCUGGCGGCGUGCUUAACACAUGCAAGUCGAACGGAAAGGCCCGCUUGCGGGUACUCGAGUGGCGAACGGGUGAGUAACACGUGGGCAACCUGCCCUCAGCUUCGGGAUAACACUUGGAAACGGGGGCUAAUACCGGAUAAUAACCUUUCAUCGCAUGGUGGUUGGGUCAAAGUUUUUCGGCUGAGGAUGGGCCCGCGGCCUAUCAGCUUGUUGGUGGGGUAAUGGCCUACCAAGGCGACGACGGGUAGCCGGCCUGAGAGGGCGACCGGCCACACUGGGACUGAGACACGGCCCAGACUCCUACGGGAGGCAGCAGUGGGGAAUAUUGCGCAAUGGGCGGAAGCCUGACGCAGCGACGCCGCGUGAGGGAUGACGGCCUUCGGGUUGUAAACCUCUUUCAGCUCUGACGAAGCGCAAGUGACGGUAGGAGCAGAAGAAGCACCGGCCAACUACGUGCCAGCCGCCGCAGUAA
rnacentral:rRNA from 1 species